GUGGGUAGACCUCAGCAGCAGAGCACAUGAUUAGCAUGCAUGGGAUCCUGGGUUCAAUCCCCAGUACCUCCU
rnacentral:tRNA from 1 species